rnacentral:rRNA from 1 species
GACGAACGCUGGCGGCGUGCUUAACACAUGCAAGUCGAACGGAAAGGCCCCUUUGGGGGUACUCGAGUGGCGAACGGGUGAGUAACACGUGAGUAACCUGCCCUUGACUUCGGGAUAACUUCAGGAAACUGGGGCUAAUACCGGAUAGGAAUCCUUGCUGCAUGGUGGGGGUUGGAAAGCUUCGGCGGUUUUGGAUGGACUCGCGGCUUAUCAGCUUGUUGGUGGGGUAGUGGCUUACCAAGGCUUUGACGGGUAGCCGGCCUGAGAGGGCGACCGGCCACAUUGGGACUGAGAUACGGCCCAGACUCCUACGGGAGGCAGCAGUGGGGAAUAUUGCACAAUGGGCGGAAGCCUGAUGCAGCAACGCCGCGUGCGGGAUGACGGCCUUCGGGUUGUAAACAGCUUUCAGCAGGGGCGAAGCUUGUGGUGACGGUACCUGCAGAAGAAGCACCGGCUAACUACGUG